GAACGAACGCUGGCGGCAUGCCUAACACAUGCAAGUCGACCGAGACCUUCGGGUCUCGUGGCGCACGGGUGCGUAACGCGUGGGAACCUGCCCUUAGGUUCGGAAUAACUCCCCGAAAGGGGUGCUAAUACCGGAUAAUGUCUUCGGACCAAAGAUUUAUCGCCUUUGGAUGGGCCCGCGUUGGAUUAGCUAGUUGGUAGGGUAAAAGCCUACCAAGGCGACGAUCCAUAGCUGGUCUGAGAGGAUGAUCAGCCACACUGGGACUGAGACACGGCCCAGACUCCUACGGGAGGCAGCAGUGGGGAAUAUUGGACAAUGGGCGAAAGCCUGAUCCAGCAAUGCCGCGUGAGUGAUGAAGGCCUUAGGGUUGUAAAGCUCUUUUACCCGGGAUGAUAAUGACAGUACCGGGAGAAUAAGCUCCGGCUAACUCCGUG
rnacentral:rRNA from 1 species